GUAAAUUCCUUCAGUAGUCGGGUGUAGUUGUGUCGGAACAGGUGGGCUGGGUUUUUGGUUAUUUUGAUACCCAGGAAUGUCAGGUGAUCGUGUCUCCAGUCUAGAGGGAAUGCCCGUUCCAGUCUGAUUGCUAACUCGCCACCUAAUUGUAUUCCUAGGGCCUGAGUUUUCGUGACGUUCAGCUUGUAAUAUGAUACUGCCCCAUAUUCUUGGAUUCUCGUCAUCAGGUUUGGUAGGGAUAUUAAUGGGCGUGUUAG